AUGAUUUUAGGUGCUUGCACUUGAAAGAUUUAACAUUGAGACGAGUGGCGAACUGGUGAGUAACACGUGGGUAACCUGCCCUUGAAGUAGGGGAUAACACUUGGAAACAGGUGCUAAUACCGUAUAACAACCAAAACCACCUGGUUUUGGUUUAAAAGACGGCUUCGGCUGUCACUUUAGGAUGGACCCGCGGCGUAUUAGCUUGUUGGUAAGGUAACGGCCUACCAAGGCGAUGAUACGUAGCCGACCUGAGAGGGUAAUCGGCCACAUUGGGACUGAGACACGGCCCAAACUCCUACGGGAGGCAGCAGUAGGGAAUCUUCCACAAUGGACGAAAGUCUGAUGGAGCAACGCCGCGUGAGUGAUGAAGGGUUUCGGCUCGUAAAACUCUGUUGUUGGAGAAGAACAGGUGUCAGAGUAACUGUUGACAUCUUGACGGUAUCCAACCAGAAAGCCACGGCUAACUACGUGCCAGCAGCCGCGGUAAUACGUAGGUGGCAAGCGUUGUCCGGAUUUAUUGGGCGUAAAGCGAGCGCAGGCGGUUUUUUAGGUCUGAUGUGAAAGCCUUCGGCUUAACCGGAGAAGUGCAUCGGAAACCGGGAGACUUGAGUGCAGAAGAGGACAGUGGAACUCCAUGUGUAGCGGUGAA
rnacentral:rRNA from 1 species